UACGGGGGGAGCAAGCGUUGUUCGGAUUUACUGGGCGUAAAGGGCGCGUAGGCGGCCAGCACAAGUCAGUUGUGAAAUCUCCGAGCUUAACUCGGAAAGGUCAACUGAUACUGUGCGGCUAGAGUGCGGAAGGGGCAACUGGAAUUCUUGGUGUAGCGGUGAAAUGCGUAGAUAUCAGGAGGAACACCGGUGGCGAAGGCGCCACUCUGGGCCGAAACUGACGCUGAGGAGCGAAAGCGUGGGUAGCAAACAGG
rnacentral:rRNA from 1 species